ensembl:lncRNA
AUUGAACAAGGUUUUAUUUGGUUAAAAGCAAUUUAAAAGUUCAGUGUUCCUUCCGUGUCUCCCGACCAGAACGAAGCCAGACCUCGGACGCCGGGGAGGCGUGGAGUCGUCGGCAGUUCGUGCCUGUACGGGGCCGGCAAGAGCCAGGAUAGUCUGUCACCCGUCCCGGAAUGAGGGGGGGAUAUCCGGGUAAGUAGAGCUCGUGGAUGUUUCGGUCGAGACCGGGAAAAGGAAUAAUUCUCGUGUCCACCUCCUUUUACAGGGACAUCACAUGCAGCGUCCAGCCCAGAGGAUCCUGCAAUCUCUUUUCAUAGGGACAUCACAUGCGGCGUUCAGCCCAGAGGAUCCUGCGAUCUGCACCGCAGAGUAAGUAACCAACAGGACAUCACAUGCGGCGUUCAGCCCAGAGGAUCCUGCGAUCUGCACAGCAGAGUAAGUAAUCAACAGGACAUCACAUGCGGCGUUCAGCCCAGAGGAUCCUGCGAUCUGCACCGCAGAGUAAGUAACCAACAGUAAGUAUGUGUUCUAGAAUAAGUAAUGGGGCUUACGGCUGGGAGAUGCUUCGGUUGUAACCAGGAAAAGAAUAAUUCUUGUGUCCACCUCCUUUCAUAGGGACAUCACAUGCGGCGUUCAGCCCAGAGGAUCCUGCGAUCUGCACAGCAGAGUAAGUAAUCAACAGUAAGUAGGUGUUCUUGAAUAAGUAAUGGGGCUUACGGCUGGGAGAUGCUUCGGUCAGUGCCUGGGUGUGGAUUACGGUGACGGUGGUGGGCUCUCGGGGUGGUGAGCGUCCGGCAUUAACUCUACAUAUCUUCCCCACACUCUGUAACUUCAC